UGCCUGGCUGUCCACUCCAGACUCUCCCAGUCCCAUUCUACCCGCUCUGCUAUCCUGCCCACCCCUGCUUCCUGUAGCAGGGUGCAGCUGGGAGAAGCCACAGGGGUUGGGAAGAUAGAACAGGAAAGAGGCCAUGGCCAUUCUGUCCUCAGAUAGUGCUGGAGAGGGGCCUUGGCUUCAGUCUUCCCACCAGACCACGACCCCAAUGCCUGAUAAAGCAGCAGCUCCAGGGCCUGGGGCAGCUGGCACAAGGGCAGAUGCCCACAGGGCUUUGUAAGUGUCUCCUGCCAGAAAGGAUGACCCCGAGUCUGUAACCCAAUGGUUCCGCCUCAGUGUUCUCACCCGUGAAAUGGGCAGCAUUUGAAGUACUUGCACCUCAUGGGAUAGGCACGAGGGCCAGAUGGAGCAGUGGGAAUAUGGCAGGCCGGUCCACUUCCCUCCACUCUCUCAGCUCACAGACACCGCUCAGGAACCAUGAGUGGUCAGAAGACAGGCCAGGCUUGGGCCAGCUCUUCAGGGCUGAGGCAGAGGGGAGACCUGGGCAGCACCCAGCCCUGUUCUUUACUUAAUCACUUGAGAAAGGGGCUGUAAGAAAGUUCUUGCAACAGCCUCCGUGGGGGACAGGCCAAGUUGCCCCUGCUUUCCUUGCCUGGCUCAUGCACAGCUGGUGGUCAGCUGGAGGUCGCAGGUGCUGGGCAGACGAAGCUGUGAGCGGGUUGGGACUCAGGCUGUCUGAGUCCCUGGGGGAAGGAGUCUCCUCACUAAAGUGAGCCGGCAGGGUAGAGGCCUCUAGCAGGAGGCCACAUGUUUUGGGCCUGCUUUCACACCAACAGUGACUGGCACUCACCCCGGAUACCUCCUUGUCCUUGACACUGGGUAUUCCUGAGGGACAGCCCCUCAGAGACUAGCUGUGCUGGCCUCUGCCACCCAGCUCUCCUGGCCUUGUCCACAGAAGUGGGCAUGCCCUCCUCAAUGCACUGUGUCCACUGGGCCAUGUCCACUGUGUCCACUGGGUCCACCUAUUCGACUCCUGCUGUAUGCAAGACCAAAGCAGGGGAGGGGUCAGGCAGCAGAGUCAGGCCCUAUCCCUCCCACCAUGGGGUCCUUGACAAGGCACUUCAAAAAGCUGGGGCUUGAGCCUGCUUCAGACAGCACCCACUGCCCACCCAGGGCUGGUGAGCUCCACCUUGCCCAAGCUGCGGAGGAUCCCAUGUCCUCCUGUGGCCUUCACGACCCUGAAACUUUCCCAGCCUGGAAACAACUGCACUUUGAUGGCAGGCGGAGUCUACUUCAGGUAGGAGGCUCAGUCCCAGAGCACACAGCCUGUGCAAUUAGCUGACAGGCGUCAGCACCCCCACAAAGUGGGGGGGUGACGAGGGUUAACUCUUUGCCCUACCAGUUACCAGGUCCUGGAGAGCAGAGCCCUCCACAGCAGCCUGCUGGGCCGGUUCACGGAGGGAGGGCAUCCCCUCCUGCCCCCAGUCCUCCUGGAGACUCGCCCUUUGCUUGCCAGGGGGCCUCUGAUGGCAGACCAGGCAAUGGUGUCUGCAGCUCUGGGGGCCAAACUGACUUUUUAACAGAAAGUUGCUGAUGACCUGAGGGGACAAGGGCAGGGUGAAGCCUCAGACUCCAUCCCUGCCACCAAAGGCCACAGUGUUCACUUCCUGAAGGCCCUGCCCUGGGCAGCUCCCUGAGCGAGGUUUGCAGGGCAGCAGGGAGGACAUCUGUGCCUCAGCUACCGAUCCCACUCUUCAGUGUAGAUGGGAACUGAGACCCGGAGAGGCAGGGUCCCACCCAUGGCAUUGCCAGAGCCAGGGACAAGGAUGGCAGAAGGGAACUUCCCCACUCCAGCCUGGGUGCAGGCACCGUGCCACUCCGACUCUGGGUUUGACCAGCUGGGGUGUGGUGCUGCCACUGUGCAGCCUGGAGUCCUGGGUGACUGGAGGAUCAGAAAGACCUGGCUGUGGGACUGUGCUCCCCAGGGUCAGCUGUGGGCUGGGUUGGGGCAGUGCACAGGCCUCACUCCCAAAGUCAUUCACUCCUGGGGUCCCUGCCUAGGAAGAGGAGCAUAAAAACACUCCCACCCCCAACAAUCUCAACUGUGAGGGGGCACACUCCCCAAGGCCAGGCCCUGGUGUGCUAGGGCCGGGCAGCACCCACCAGCGCAAGCACCGGCAGCUAGAAACCUAGCAGUCAGGGCGCGGCCGCAGACCCGCCCACGCCUGGGGUGCCACCGGGGCAGGGGACCGGAGUUAAAGUUUAUUCUCUCAACUGCGGCUGAUUCACGGUCAGGAUGUGGCAGCCGCGAGGCGGGAACUGCUUGCCCCAGGGAGGCCCAGCGGAUCGUGGCCCGCCACCCGCCGGUGGUUUGCGCUCUGGCCGCACUUCUGCGCCGGCCGCAGACCAGGGCGGGGCGCGCGGAAGAGCGAGGCCAGGGGCGCCAAGUCCCCACCCCGGGAACUGGUCCCCCG
rnacentral:lncRNA from 1 species